rnacentral:rRNA from 1 species
GAUGAACGCUGGCGGCGUGCCUAAUACAUGCAAGUCGAGCGAACAGACGAGGAGCUUGCUCCUCUGACGUCAGCGGCGGACGGGUGAGUAACACGUGGAUAACCUACCUAUAAGACUGGGAUAACUUCGGGAAACCGGAGCUAAUACCGGAUAAUAUAUUGAACCGCAUGGUUCAAUAGUGAAAGACGGUUUUGCUGUCACUUAUAGAUGGAUCCGCGCCGCAUUAGCUAGUUGGUAAGGUAACGGCUUACCAAGGCAACGAUGCGUAGCCGACCUGAGAGGGGGAUCGGCCACACUGGAACUGAGACACGGUCCAGACUCCUACGGGAGGCAGCAGUAGGGAAUCUUCCGCAAUGGGCGAAAGCCUGACGGAGCAACGCCGCGUGAGUGAUGAAGGUCUUCGGAUCGUAAAACUCUGUUAUUAGGGAAGAACAAAUGUGUAAGUAACUAUGCACGUCUUGACGGUACCUAAUCAGAAAGCCACGGCUAACUACGUG